GGGACGGGUGCAGGGGGCUUCUGUCGCGGGUUGGGCGAGCUUGGCUGGCUCUCAUUCGGAGGCAGCGGAGACCUAUCUCAGCAUUGCUUCGGGCCUGAUUAAGGGGAACCACUGGAACGGGUCUGGCUUGUCCAGAAAAGGGGGCGUCUGGCAUCUGCUGAGCUUGAAGUACCGGAUUAGAGGAGGCGGCAGGAAUCUUCAGCAGGAUCGGAGCACUUUGGACGGUGCACCUGGGGAAGCUCAGGGAUCAGACCGGGCAGGAGGCAGCCGGGAUCUGGCCGAGCUUGCGGGCCUGGUUUCGGGAGGAGAAUCUUCAGGGACUGUGCUUGCACCGGGGACACCACGGGGGCCGGAGCACUAUCACGGUCUGGGGCGGGGGGGGACCUACACCUUCGCAGAC
rnacentral:lncRNA from 1 species